rnacentral:snRNA from 1 species
GGAUGUGAGGGCAAUCUGGCUAUGCCAUCUGUCAUCCCAUUGAACACCAGGGUUGAUUCAGUUGAUCCAGCCACCUAGGCAGGCAUCCCCUUCCUCCCUCCCUGCUCCAUGUACCUCCCUCCUGACUCUGCAGCUGAAUGGGAGGAAACAACCUUCCCUGAUAGAUGAGGAGCAUUCUUAACUUAAGGGUAUAGUAGUAGCACUGCUCCUCUGCUAGAACCUCCAAACUAGUUCUCAAGGUCCAUCUGUAGGAGACUGUAGCAUGGUCAAGCUUCCAAGACACCAUACACAUCCAAAUGAAGCACUAUCUGUGGCAGUCUGCCUUUCUUU